rnacentral:rRNA from 1 species
CCUACGGGAGGCAGCAGUGAGGAAUAUUGGUCAAUGGGCGGGAGCCUGAACCAGCCAAGUCGCGUGAAGGAAGAAGGUACUUAGUAUUGUAAACUUCUUUUGUCGGGGAGCAAAAGACGCCACGCGUGGCGUUCCGAGAGUACCCGAAGAAAAAGCAUCGGCUAACUCCGUGCCAGCAGCCGCGGUAAUACGGAGGAUGCGAGCGUUAUCCGGAUUUAUUGGGUUUAAAGGGUGCGCAGGCGGAAGAUCAAGUCAGCGGUAAAAUUGAGAGGCUCAACCUCUUCGAGCCGUUGAAACUGGUUUUU